CAUCGCGCCGGAGCUGUGAGAACUAAGGCUUAUCAUGGUGCGACCAGAGAAGCCCCUAAGACCAACAGUGGGAUUGAUGUUGUUGGGAUGGUUGAAUGAACUGCAGCUGCCACUCCACCUUUACCUGCUCACAUGGAAUUAAUGCUGACAUGAUUCCUCUUCCUGAAGAGGUGUGCGCUGGGAAUUCCAUUGACUAACAAUCCAUUAUGCAGGCCGGUUAUUUCUCACCGUAACAUCUGGAUCACAUAUCUACUUUCACUAUAAUACAGAUGUUGGAAAAGAAUACUAUGAAAAGUUGGUUGGGGGUACCACAAACUAGACUGUCUCUUCAUCUAAGCUUCUUCAUGCACAGAAAAUAGAACCUCUCAUCGUUCUGAGCUCAACCUUAUCACAUCUGAACCUCAGAUAAUUGAGUUCCUCUGUACGCUAAAGUUACUGGAAUUCAGACAGAGAAAUGAUGGCGUUAUAUUGGUUGCUCAAAAUGUUCGAAGAAGCUCCAGCGAGAAGGCAGAGAUAUUCUGUAAUCUGAGGACAAGCAAGUAACAGCUUAGCUCUGCCCGGAAUUAACUUUCAUAGAAAAUAACAAAAUUAUACCAUCCUGACUAUCUUUCCAUACUUCACAGGCCAGAAAUCUAAAACAGAUACGCACAUAGCUACGAAAUGUUGUCUCUGAGACCCCGCAAAUGUUUGAGACAAACGACUGUUAUUAGUUUAUUUCACUAUGUAUCUCUACAGACUCAGGUUUGUAUUGACAAGCUUUUUCAUGAGAAGAACAAUAUGCAUUUACAAAAC